UGUGCCGUUGCAAAACUGAGCCACGCCCGUAGGGAGCUGUGCAUCAUAGUCCUUCGCCACUCAGGAGGCUUGUCAGGCUGGCAGCAGCUUCCAGCCUCUUCACCUGUUACAUGGGGAUUAUAAUAAUACCAAAUUCCCUGGCUUGUCAGGAGGAGUAAAUAAAAUCAGAUAAGGGCCACAGACGAGGAAACUAUCUUUUGCUGAGCACCCACAUCGUGUCAGACACUUGGCAACAUUUUCCAUCUAAUUCUCACGUUGACUUUGUCAGGAUGAUGUCAUAGAAGACUGGAUCCAGGCGCCUCUUCCUUUGGGUCCCGUGACCACUCAGCGGAGGGAGAAGCUAACACUGUGAUGAGACGUGACUCGCCAGAGAGACAGGGGGGCUUUCUGCAUCUGAAUGUUCUUAGCCAUCGGUGCUGUUGUGGGUGCUUGGUACUGGGACAAGUGAGGCACAGGCCCUGGCCCCGAGGAGCCUGCAUUCUAGAGAAGACACAAGCACUGGAGGGUGAGGCGGAUUUCUGUCCUCAGGGAGCUUCAAGCUGAGCUGGAGGUGAUCAGGCCAGAACGCCACUAUAUGCAAUGCAGCUGUACCCAGGGCUCUAGACCCCAAAGGAGGAGGAAAUGGCUGCGUCUAGAGCAGUCAGGGACUGGAGUUCUGUGACCUAAGCUGCUCAAAGUGUGGUCCCCAAAAGCGCAGGCCUGAUCCCAGACCUCCUGCAUCAGAACCCGCAUUUUAACAAAAUCCUCAGGUGAUCUGUGUGCCCAUCAGAAUUACUGACUGUCCGGAAACGGCGUGAGGCUGAUCUGGCAGGCGGAAACAAUGCACAUGUCAUUUUUAGUAAAUAUCAUGAAACUAUACAGAACUGAACCAGGUGGUGAACCGUGGAGCUCUAAGAUAGCUCAAAUUUCCAUCUGUUCAUUUAAAAUGGGAGAAUAAAUUUCAAGGAUCACUGGAAAAGGGACA
rnacentral:lncRNA from 1 species